UGUCAACUAGUUGUCGGGNUUUNUUAGGCUUAGUAACGUAGCAAAGGGCUGAAGUUGACCCCCUAGGGAGUACGGUCGCAAGAUUAAAACUCAAAGGAAUUGACGGGGACCCGCACAAGCGGUGGAUGAUGUGGAUUAAUUCGAUGCAACGCGAAAAACCUUACCUACCCUUGACAUGCCANUAACCNUGCUGAGAUGCAUUGGUGCCCGAAAGGGAACGUGGACACAGGUGCUGCAUGGCUGUCGCCAGCUCGUGUCGGGAGAUGUUGGGUUAAGUCCCGCAACGAGCGCAACCCUUGUCUCUAGUUGCUACCCAAGAGCACUUUAGNGAAACUGCCGGNGACAAACCGGAGGAAGGUGGGGAUGACGUCAAGUCCUCAUGGCCCUUAUGGGUAGGGCUCCACACG
rnacentral:rRNA from 1 species